GCACAAGCGGUGGAGCAUGUGGUUUAAUUCGAAGCAACGCGAAGAACCUUACCAGGUCUUGACAUCCUCUGACAAUCCUAGAGAUAGGACUUUCCCCUUCGGGGGACAGAGUGACAGGUGGUGCAUGGUUGUCGUCAGCUCGUGUCGUGAGAUGUUGGGUUAAGUCCCGCAACGAGCGCAACCCUUGUCCUUAGUUGCCAGCAUUCAGUUGGGCACUCUAAGGAGACUGCCGGUGACAAACCGGAGGAAGGUGGGGAUGACGUCAAAUCAUCAUGCCCCUUAUGACCUGGGCUACACACGUGCUACAAUGGAUGGUACAAAGGGUUGCGAGACCGCGAGGUUUAGCCAAUCCCAUAAAACCAUUCUCAGUUCGGAUUGUAGGCUGCAACUCGCCUACAUGAAGCCGGAAUCGCUAGUAAUCGUGGAUCAGCAUGCCACGGUGAAUACGUUCCCGGGC
rnacentral:rRNA from 1 species